rnacentral:sRNA from 1 species
AGCCGUUUCGGUUCGAUAGGGAUACUCAUCAAAUUAAACCCGAAAACCGAGUAGUCUUCUCUUGCCAAUGGCGGGCCACACCAACUGCAUCAGCAGCCAGCCGCAAGGCCGGUGGAUUACAACGACGGAGAGCGCUCAAAUCUUUUAACAAAGGAGUUUUCAUCACAUCAUCGGGCGGCUA